UUUCAUUAAAAUAUAAGGGUAUUUUGGUAUUAAUAAACAAAAUUUAAUGGACAAGUUGUGUAAUAGGCAAACAAUUAAGAGGUAAAUAAUAUUUAACCGGAUCUAUUUAAUGAUUGUUUAACUAAAAUUUCAAUGAUUUGCCUUUUUAAUAUAAAUUUACAAAUUAAAAAUUAGAAAAAAAAUAUAAUUUUUAAAUAUAAAAAAGUAACUAGUAUAAAAUGAAAAAAUAUAAAAAAAAAUAGUAAUUACCCCUUUUAUAUCAUUUGUAGUAAUUUUUCAUUAUUUUACAUCAUUUCUUUGUAGUUUUACAUUAUCUAUUAGGAUUUACAUACAACAUCUCAACUUCACAAUAUUCUUAUAUAGAAAACUUCAGAAAUGAUAUCAGUAAAGGUGGCACCAAAGUUUGUUGUUUAGCUUUGCUUGUUCGAACAUUUUGUCACGCACUCAGGCUUGCAAAGAAAUUUAGGUUUAUGAGGUAUGCAUGACGCAAAACAAGGAUUAAAACAAGCUUCAUCAGCAUCAAUUGUAGGAGUAGUAUAUGACCCAAGUUUCCAUCCUUCUGCAACCUCAGUGGAUGCAACCAGCAUGAUAAUAAGGAUUGUAGCAAUGGAAAUUUUGCUUGGGCUCAUUUUUUAUGAUUUUCCUAUGUUC
rnacentral:lncRNA from 1 species